GACGAACGCUGGCGGCGUGCCUAAUACAUGCAAGUCGAACGCAGUGGGGACGGGUGAGUAACACGUGGGUAACCUCCCAUCAGAGGGGAGAAAACUUGGAAACCGGUGCUAAACUGAUACUGAUGGAUGGACCCGCGGGGAAUUAGCUGGUUGGUGAGGUAACGGCUCACCAAGGCCACGAGGCAUAGCGGACCUGAGAGGGUGAUCGGCCACACUGGGACUGAGACACGGCCCAGCCUCCUACGUGAGGCAGCAGUAGGGAAUAUUCGGCAAUGGACGAAAGUCUGACCGAGCAACGCCGCGUGAAUGAAGAAGGUUUUCGGAUCGUAAAACUCUGUUGUUAGAGAAGCGGUAUCUAACCAGAAAGCCACGGCUAACUCCGUGCCAGCAGCCGCGGUAAUCC
rnacentral:rRNA from 1 species